GGCAUGCACUCCUCUGUCUCGUCUGUGGCGUAGCCGAACAUCAGACCCUGCAGAGGAGAGAGAGAAUCGGAAACAUUGUUGACAGUGAAGUCUGAUGACACAAAUCAUCAUCGGCAGGGAAAAAGCAAAGCACAACAAAAAGCAUGCAACCUUACACCAGCCUGUCACACACACAUUCACCUCCUGCUACCCAUGAGUGAGAGUGAGGGGCAGUAAACACAUGUGGCUGUGAAUGGAAUACCGACCAUGCUUGGAGAGUAAAUACGCAGCACUGGGGAGUUAUUUUGGACAGAUAGUAACACCUGUAUCAGGUUAAUUCAUGUGUAUGUCUAUGCUUCUGUAAAAAAAAUAUCUGCAGCUACAGUAGAAAUGUCAAAAGCUCUUCCUUUGUAUAUACUAGGAAAAGUGUGAAGUUUUAUGUUUUGGGAACAAAAGUGCAAAUGUGUGACAAGCUGUGGUGUAUUUUUGUACAUUUUUUUCAGCGUGCACACACAUAGCUAUGUUUGAUUAAAGACUCACCUGGAUGUCCCUCUCCCACGGACUCCGAGGUGAACAUGAAAGAACCGUCGUCCAGGUGAUCACUCAUGUUUUUCUACGGGUGCCAGGUACUCUGCGAGGUUACUCAAUUCCCACCAGCGAGCAGUCCAGAAAGACCUGAAGGCGGCUUUAUAUUCCUGCUGGUUCUCUUCACCACAGAAACGAAGAACAGGAGGCCAACAGCCCUGCAGCCAAUACAAAGUCUAUCCUGCAAAACUCCACGUCUGUGUCCACAUGGCCCAAUAUAUAUGGCUAAGGCAACGCACGCGCACGCACACACAUCCUGUCACUCUCUCACACACACACACACACACACACCACACACACACACACACACACACACACACACACACACAUAUGUCAUGUGAAUCCGUGGGACAGUCCAUUCCAGGGGGGAGUGGAUGAAGGGAGGGCAUUUCAGCUGGGGGAAGCUGCUUGUUAACCCCUUGUGUACAGCGUGAGGCCUGAGUGAGUGUUUACAGUCAUCACCUGGUUUGAUUGCUCCACUUCAGGGUGCGACGCUUCCUGGGUGAAAGCAGGAGCAUCAUGAACAGGGGGUCCCCUUCUCUUCCAUCAUCACACUGGUGGGACAGCUCCGUCUGCUCGGACAAGGCCGGACUGGGGACAACCUAUAGACAGAGGGAGAGAGGAAAAGAAAAUCGGGGACUGUAUAGGACCUUUUGCGAAAGUGAUGCUCUAAGCAGAUACACACAGACAGACCAUCCAUUACUUUCAAGAACCCAAAUCUGAGGAGUGAUUCGUGCUUUGCUUGUGCUGCAUGAUCGAUUCCAAAGAAACUACAUCUGCACUCCAAAUAAAUUAUACUAAAAGAACAACAUGGAGGAUUACCAGGUUUCUUCUGAGUUAAGCUACACUAAGUUUAAGAUCUACUGUAUCCUGACAAGACAGAGGUGUAUGUCCACUACACAUCAUUCAGCAAUCAAUAAAUUUACAUAAUCCUAUGGAAGAAGCGUCAGAUGUUUAUUACGUUAGUGUACAGUGGUGGGCCGGAUGAAACCUACAAACUGGAGAUCCCCUCUAGAUAAAGUCUUAAGUUCAAAUCCCCCUGAACCUUCACCCAUAGAGCCUUUGAGGCCUUUGGAAGGUGAGGAGCAGGAUGAUAAACACCAGAUGAACUUUGUGUUGCAACUUCUCAAGUUUCUAGUGUGUUUAAAUCAUCAUCUAUGUUCAUAUCAUCUAACCCAGUCUCAAGUCAGUGUGACAAAAAUCAAGCCACGUGACAGCGUCCGAUUGGCUACGUGAUAUGUGUGUCACACUGCACCCCAGUGUGUUUCAACUUACAAGCCAAAGUCAGGGUUUCGGGGUCACUUUGGGAUCCGAGGGUCAGUCAGACUCAACUUGACAGAACAGGAUGAGAUAACCAAACGCUGGCGGCCUCAGGAGCUGUUAACACCUGUUUGUCCCAGGUUCAAGGACACACAGUUUACCUCCAUAACUUGCCUCUCUGUCCUCUGAGCUCAUCUGGUUACCAACCAGUUUCAUCUGGAUGGCGUUCAGAGAUGGCAGAAUAAGUUGGAUCUUGCCAGACAUGAACUUUUAUUGCAACAGGGAAAGAUUGGGGAGCAAUUGGUGUGUCCAACUUAUUACAUAAGCAGCUGCAUUACAAUAAGCAAAAGAUAAUGCAUGAAGCCUGUCACCAGAAUAAUUUAUAUAUGAUUAUUGAUAUUUCUUCUUAUCAUUACUGGACUGUACUUUUACACACUUUUAUAGCCUUUGUAAUCUGUUACUGUGUUUAUGUUUUGGCUUCUUGUUUCACAGGAAUUUUACAGCAUUGUUAAGCAAAUUUUUAUUAUAUUACCAAUUUUUUUUUCUCUCAGAGUUCUUGAUGUUCUCUCAGAGCAAAGAAAAGGAAGCUGUACAUUGCUUGAAACAGAUCCAUAAGCAGAUCUCUCUUCUCAAAUGAAGUUGCACUGUAAUUGCUAUCAUACUCGCAGUCCUUUUACUACUGCACACUUUGCUCUCUGAUUGGCUUCACUUGCACAAUAAGAAUUUGACAUGUCAACCAAUGUCUGUGAGCGCAAACACCACACAGGAGGUGGGGUGCAGCGCUGCAGCUGUGAUUGGCUGUGAGUCCCACACACUCCCCACUGGAACAGCGCAGGCCCAAGAGGAGACUGUGCUGCAUUUGUGUAUACGUUUGCAUGUGUGUCUGUGUGUGAUGAGAACACCAGCGCCAAAACAACCCCAGACCUCCACUGAAUCUCACAAAUGAGGGUUUUGUGCGUUGUGAGGUGUGAAAUGAUUACAGUAUGCUGACUCCUAGUAGCAUAUUUUUUACUCCAAAUGGCCGAUUGUCUGAUGAGGGACUGACUCACAGGCACGAGUUUCACUUUCUCACAAAAACCAGUAGCCUUUCAUUCUGCAACUAAGCAUCCAGGCAGACCCACACCCCAGCAAAUGGCUGCACAGAUCAGCCAGAGGGAGAGCAGCUGCUGGGCUCAUAGAGUGUCAUCCUAUCCCAUCUAUUCCAGCCCAUUUGGGACCCUCAGCACAUUCCUCUGUGAAGCUGCCACCAAUGAGUGAAAUAUUACCACCAUGUCACUUUAGCAAUUAACUUUCUUCACAGAUAUUAUGCAGGGGGAAAACAAUGUCCUCAUUUGACUUGUGUGUUGAUGAUACGUUGCAGAAAAGUAUGAUUAGAGACAGUUGAACUCAUUCAGGGCAUGCACUUUGAGCUCCUGAACAUCUUGAUCCCCUCUUUAUUGCAAUGUUCCGGGGUGGUUUUAUCAAUAGCGCCUCUUAUAAAGCUGUCACUGGGUGGUGGUUGUAAAUAAAAAGGUCAUAAAACAGACACAGGAUGUUUUUGAACCACUGCUACUUUAUGUAAUGAAUGCAUAUUAUGUAAUAUAAUGUUACACAUUUCUCUUCUAAGAUUAAGUCUUUCACUAUUUUGAAAAACUGUAUUUAUAUGUGUAUAAAUAGGUUCUUGGCAAACCAUUACUUGUAACUCUCCCUAUAAAAAACACCCACUGACCAACUACAUGAGGCCUCAAGACCGCAGAGUUAGCUCACCUUCUCUCUAACACAACUGAACACUGCAACUGUCACUAAAGUAAGAUUUAUCUGGCUGCUGUAUUGAACUGAAUUAUUAUGCAAGAGCCUAAUAAACUUGGAACUCCUGGUACAGCAGCCACAUUGAAUGAGAAAAAAUGGAAACACUGUCAUGUAGACAACAAUGAAGAUGUUCUCAAACACUGUAUUAAAUGAAGUAAUUUUACGUUCAUGCAAGGUCAAUUCAUGAAUGAUACGUAAGGAUUUGAUCUUUGUCAUGUACGAGUAGCUUUGAUUUCUGGCCUCAUUGUUGGAUGAAAGAAACUGUUUAAAUAAAGAUAAGAUAAGACAGAACUUAAUA